rnacentral:rRNA from 1 species
AUACGGAGGGGGCUAGCGUUGUUCGGAUUUACUGGGCGUAAAGCGCGCGUAGGCGGGCUGGUCAGUUGGGGGUGAAAUCCCGAGGCUUAACCUCGGAACUGCCCUCAAUACUGCCAGUCUUGAGUUCGAGAGAGGUGAGUGGAAUUCCUAGUGUAGAGGUGAAAUUCGUAGAUAUUAGGAAGAACACCAGUGGCGAAGGCGGCUCACUGGCUCGAUACUGACGCUGAGGCGCGAAAGCGUGGGGAGCAAACAGGAUUAGAAACCCCAGAAGUCC